UCAGCUAGUUGGUAGGGUAACGGCCUACCAAGGCAGUGACGGGUAGCUGGUCUGAGAGGAUGAUCAGCCACACUGGGACUGGAACACGGCCCAGACUCCUACGGGAGGCAGCAGUGAGGAAUUUUGGACAAUGGGCGAAAGCCUGAUCCAGCAACGCCGCGUGAGUGAUGAAGGCCCUCGGGUUGUAAAGCUCUUUCAGGGGGGAUGAGAAAGGACGGUACCCCCACAAGAAGCACCGGCUAACUCCGUGCCAGCAGCCGCGGUAAUACGGAGGGUGCGAGCGUUGUCCGGAAUCACUGGGCGUAAAGCAGGUGCAGGCGGCCUGUUGUGUCGGGUGUGAAAUCCCGUGGCUCAACCACGGAACUGCGCCCGAAACUGAUGGGCUUGAGUGCGAGAGGGGAUGGUGGAAUUCUCGGUGUAGAGGUGAAAUUCGUAGAUAUCGAGAGGAAUACCGGUGGCGAAGGCGACCAUCUGGCUCGUGUCUGACGCUCAGACCUGAAAGCGUGGGUAGCAAACAGAAUUAGAUACUCUGGUAGUCCACGCAGUAAACGAUGGAUACUAGGUGUUGGGGGUGUCGAUUCCCUCAGUGCCGAAGUUAACGCAUUA
rnacentral:rRNA from 1 species